GAUGAACGCUGGCGGCGUGCCUAAUACAUGCAAGUCGAGCGAACGGACGAGAAGCUUGCUUCUCUGAUGUUAGCGGCGGACGGGUGAGUAACACGUGGAUAACCUACCUAUAAGACUGGGAUAACUUCGGGAAACCGGAGCUAAUACCGGCUAAUAUUUUGAACCGCAUGGUUCAAAAGUGAAAGACGGUCUUGCUGUCACUUAUAGAUGGAUCCGCGCUGCAUUAGCUAGUUGGUAAGGUAACGGCUUACCAAGGCAACGAUGCAUAGCCGACCUGAGAGGGUGAUCGGCCACACUGGAACUGAGACACGGUCCAGACUCCUACGGGAGGCAGCAGUAGGGAAUCUUCCGCAAUGGGCGAAAGCCUGACGGAGCAACGCCGCGUGAGUGAUGAAGGUCUUCGGAUCGUAAAACUCUGUUAUUAGGGAAGAACAUAUGUGUAAGUAACUGGGCACAUCUUGACGGUACCUAAUCAGAAAGCCACGGCUAACUACGUG
rnacentral:rRNA from 1 species